GAUGCUUGCCAACUAAUAGAUUGAGGUUGGAAUAACAAGUUUACUCAACAUGAAAAGUAAAUAACAUGAAAGUAAAUAGAUUGUCUCUUUGCAGAGGAAAGCAGGGAUUUGCAUAGGUGCCAGAGCUCAUUGUUUAAAAUAGAGAUGAAGAGAGGUGGGAUGCGUAGAAUCCCCAAGCUUAGAUGGUUGACAAUUCUUAUAAUAUUUACUUGGGGUGCCUUGUGCAUCCCUAAGAUUGAGAUUUUGUAUAUAUUUCAACCCUAUCAUAUCCCGGU
rnacentral:lncRNA from 1 species